AGAGUUUGAUCCUGGCUCAGAAUGAACGUUGGCGGCGUGGAUUAGGCAUGCAAGUCGAGCGAGAAGUUUCUCUUCGGAGAAAUGGACAGCGGCAAACGGGGUAGUAAAGCGUAGGUGACGUACCCCAAGGACCGGGAUAGCUGUGGGAAACUGCAGGUAAUACCGGAUGAUCUCUCGAAGUAUGGUCACUUUGAGAGCAAUUGGUGUGAUUCCGCCUUGGGAGCGGCUUACGUGGUACUAGCUAGUUGGUGAGGUAACGGCUCACCAAGGCUCAGAUGCCUAGGGGGUGUGAGAGCAUGGCCCCCACCACUGGGACUGAGACACUGCCCAGACACCUACGGGUGGCUGCAGUCGAGAAUCUUCGGCAAUGGGCGAAAGCCUGACCGAGCGACGCCGCGUGCGGGAUGAAGGCCCUUGGGUUGUAAACCGCUGUCAGAGGGGAUGAAAUGCUAGGGGGCUAUCCCUCUAGUUUGACAGAGCCUCAGAGGAAGCACGGGCUAAGUACGUGCCAGCAGCCGUGGUAACACGUACUGUGCAAACGUUAUUCGGAAUCACUGGGCUUAAA
rnacentral:rRNA from 1 species